UACAGAGGUCUCAAGCGUUGUUCGGAUUCAUUGGGCGUAAAGGGUGUGUAGGUGGCGCGCUAAGUCGGGUGUGAAAUUUCGGAGCUUAACUCCGAAACUGCAUUCGAUACUGGCGUGCUUGAGGACUGGAGAGGAGACUGGAAUUCAUGGUGUAGCAGUGAAAUGCGUAGAGAUCAUGAGGAGGACCAGUGGCGAAGGCGGGUCUCUGGACAGUUCCUGACACUGAGACACGAAGGCCAGGGGAGCAAACGGG
rnacentral:rRNA from 1 species